CCGAGUUUACAACUCCCAAACCCCUGUGAACAUACCUAUUACGUUGCCUCGGCGGAUCAGCCCGCGCCCCGUAAAAACGGGACGGCCCGCCCAGAGGACCCCUAAACUCUGUUUCUAUAGUGGAACUUCUGAGUAAAACCAUAAAAUAAAUCA
rnacentral:misc_RNA from 1 species